UACACUCCACGUUCAGAUUCAGAUUCAUUCUGUAAGCGCGAUUCCUCGAGGACGUAACGUGAAACGUCGGCCGAUCAGCCCGGUUUUUGAGCAGCUAUUCAACGGUUACGCGCCCACCACCCACUCACCACUAACACCGAAGAAUCAGCAACGCCCCCCACUUCACCCGCGCUUGUGCAUCUCAAAGAUACAAAAGUAAUUCAAAGAUAAAUAAGCGGGGAAUUAUCCGAAAAAUUAAAAGUAAAUUCCACAAAUACGUAUAGUGUGUGCGAGUGGCAAGCUGAUUGGAUUUACUGGUGUGCCUGCGUAAAUUCUUUAACUAAAAUUGAUUGUUUAUUUCCGCUGCAGCAGCAGCAGCAGCAGUAGCAGCAGCACGAGCAAAAAGAUAACAAACACAAGCAACUAAUGAAAUUUGGGCCAGUUGCCAAUUGAAAAUGUGAUUUCCUUAUCAACAACGGAGCACACAAACGAAAGAAUACGUAUAUUAAGCCAGCGAGUAAAUAAAAUUAAUUUACGCGCGCUUCGAAAUCAAAUUCAAAAUGUCAUUCCAAGUGCACAGCGAAAAAAAAACAUCAACAGCGAAAGCGUCAUUAAGUAAAUAAAUAAAAACAACAAAGCCCAGCAAAUAUUGUUCAACAACUAACCAGUAAUUGUGUAAAUAGUAUCCAGCAUAAACAAUUUAAUUGUUUAAUUGUGUUGUGCAGCAAAAUAAAUUUAAUUAUAUGUAAUAAAUAUUCAAUGAAUACGUAGUAGGAUAAUAAUAAAGUAAAGAAGUAUAAUCUGAUAAUUCCGUGCAAUCUAUUUCUAAAAUAACAACACAUCAACAACCAUCACAGCCAUAAAGUAUAUUAAUAACUCAAGAACCAAACCCGAUAAGAGCCAGAAUCAAAUUGAAUAAUAAGCAGCGUUAAAACGCAAAACUCAUAAGGUGCAUCCAACUUCAAUAUUCGAAAUCGCGAAAUCCGACCUAGACUUGCCAUAUUGCGACUGAAACCUAUACCCCCAGCAGCUUUAAAUCGUGAUAAAAAGUAAGUUCUGGACAUUUGCGUUGUGCUUAACCCAAAUCGACGGUUGGUAAGGAGCGGGAAUCCAAAUACGAAUCCGAAUCGGAAUCGGAAUUGGAAUUGGGAUCGGAAUCGGGCUAACAAGACAAGUCACUUAAUGUCUGUCGCCAAUUUAUUCGCAUUUUUUUGCGCCGCUCUUUGUUUUUGGGGCCAAUUAGCGAAACGAGUUUCUGGUGUAAACGUUGAGGAAAGGAAAACAUUUCCGCAAAAUAAAUAAAGUAAAGUAAAGUGUGGAACAGAGAAGAGAAAUGUGAUAAGGCGAGGUGAGGUGAGGUGGAGCAUGAGAGAAAAGGCCAAAACCAGCUGGCCGAAUCGGCGGUAUGAGUGAUUCAUGCGAGUGCGAGUAUCUCUUAGUACGCUCCAACUCACAUCGGGUUCCCCAUUCCGCAUUUCCCAUUCCCCAUUCCCCAACCUCCAAUCUCCAGAUCCACUUUACUCUGCAGUAAUACGACGAGAUAAUGAGCGGGGCCGUAAGGAAAUUAAAUACAGUGAUUAAGUAACUUAAUGACGUGGGAUAAGCCACGAAAUGUGCAGGCUUAGGGGAUGGAUGGCCAGAACCGGCCCAUUCCGAUUCCGAUUCCGGGUGUAAUCCCAAAAAGUUACUACAUAAGUCUAGGAUUUGGACCCCUACUUCAAUCGCUUGGAUCUGAAGUUGAUCCGGCGCUUGGCUUCAAACUCAAGAGUCUGGUAGCUCUUGGGCAAAAGUUCACUUAUUCGGCGGUCAGUGAACCGCCUUCUUCUACGACUUCUUCCUCAUUUGCAUUUUGUGGCAGCGAAGAACCAUUUUAAUUGUGUUUAAUUAGACUCUCGGCUAACCGAAAUAAUUAUGCAUAAUUAAAAGCCAUUUUGCAUUUUUAACGCGAAUUUAAGGCAUUAACCUCGGCAAAUAAAUUAUGCAUGUCACGUGGCAUUUAAUUUUGAAAAAUAUCAUUUAGAAUUAUUAUAACUCCUCAUCUCGUUUGUCUUAUAAAGCAAAACUUAAUUGAAUCGAAUCGAAUUGAGUUGAAAUGAAUCAAAGAGUUGAUAUCACCGCGUAUUCCCCGUAAAAUAUGCCCCACAGUAUUGGGACAUAAAUUUCAAUUAUAAAUUAUUCAUCACUAUUUAGGGAAAGUUGCUAAUUUAGCGACAGUUCAAUGAACCAAAAGUAGGCAACAGUUUUAUUUUGGCCAAAAACAAACAAAUAAAUAAUCCAGCAAAUAUUGCUGAGCAAUUUGGCCUUUUCUCAAUUCUUUUGAUUUUUUUUAGAAUAAAUUGUUUAAUUAUUUUGGGUGUGGCAAGUGGAUAUCGCAUGGAUAUUAUUGGUUUCUGCUGUCAUUUGCAUAGACUUGAAGUUAAUGAAAUUUUUCAAAUAUUCAUUCAGCUUAUUUGUACGUGGGUGGCAGUGUGAUAUGCAUAUCAAAUAGUCUCUAGAGUAGGAAUUAUUAUAUCUGUGUGAGUCCAAUUGAAAUGGAGAAUGAAGUUUGGCUCACAGCUUUUACAUGCUAAUACUCUUGAUUACUCUUGAUUAUUAUAUAUAUUCAUGUAUGUACUUUUAAAUGAUGAAUAGAGACACGUUUACAUGGUUUAAGCUGACCAACUGCCCCAUUAACCCUCCGAAUACCCCUUGUUCCUGGGCUUACCUGGCACAAAACACCGCUCACAUACUGGCCGCAUAUCAGUUUGUAUGUUAAACACUUUAAACGUGUUUUCAUUUUGACUUGUUUGCUUUGCUCUUUACCUUCUUUUCAAACUUCUUACUACACAAACUACACACAAACGGCAACUGCGACCCUUUUUCAUUUGACUUCGCCUCGUUGUUGUUGCCGCACAAAAUUAUAUUUAUUUUUGCAUUAAGCACGAGGUCAAUUAACCUCAUGCCGCGUCGCGAGUUCAAUAAACGCAAAGCACACACAGCGCGCCAAACACAAGCAAAACUUUAAACUACACACUCGCGUACAGCAGAAUUUAACAUUCACAUAAAAAGCGCAAAAAAAAAUACGCAAAAAUACAACAAAAUGGCAAAAAAGAAUGCAAAAAAAACUGUGUUGUGACGUCGUUGUUGUCGUUGACAUUUUGCGCAUUUUACAACAGCAACAGCAGCAACAAGAACAACAACGGGACAACGCGGAUUUUUUACAACUUUUUUGCCAUUUUUUUACAAUUGUAAAUUGAGUCAUUUGGUUGUAGUUGCCAGUUGUCGUUGUUUUUCACCCCUUUUUUAUUAUUCUCAUGUUUGUUAUGCACUUGACAACGACAACAUAUGAACGGCAGCAGCAGCAGCAACAACUGCAGCAACAACAACUGCGGCAGCAGCAGCAACAACUGCAGCAACAGCAGCAGCAACAACCGCAGCAGCAGCAACAUCAGCCAAAAACUCAUUCAUCAACACUUUCAAAGCGCUUUUGCACCCAUUUGAGAUUUUGUUGUGUUUUUUAGCCUAAGGCCACUGCUUUUUGAGGGGGGUUUGGGGGGCUCGGAAGCCCCCUGGUCAUUGAUACGCCGGCUCGCGUGCCGUUCUUGCUCUUUUUUCAAAGCUUGCUUCCCCCCCUUUUUUUUUGUUAUAUAUUUUCAUAUUUAUUUGCUUGGCUUUUUUUGGGGCUCUGUCAUUCUUUUGCCCAUACAAAUUAAUUGUAGUCGUUUUUUGUGGGUUUUUGCUUAGGGUGCCGCGUGUUGCCACGCAAAAUGAAAAAAUGAAAAAGCGAGGGAAAAAGGUAUUUUUGAUUUGGUUGUUUAUUUUGCCAGCCAGCUUGGUAACCGAUGACGUUGAAAAUCGAGGGCGGUGUGCACAGGUGUGCAAAAUGAAUGUUGAGUGGGGCAAAAGCGAAUGUAAAUCAAUAAUCGAGACGGGGGAAGUGCAAAAAUGCUAAAUAAAUGAAGACAAAUUGGGUAAAAUUUGUUUGAACAGUUUAUUACGGGCGAAUUUGUUCGCUGAGUGCUAUAAAAAACGAAUGAGGAAAUGCUGGGAAAGUAUAAAUAAAACUGGCAUAAGUUUGUCAAUGCAGCGCAAUACAUAUUCAACAGGAUUGGCGAGUUCUCACACUCACGAUAAACUCGGAAAUAACGUGUUAACUAAGCCAUUAAAAUUAAAAAUACUUUUUACUAUUCUUUUUGGCUAAAACUUUGCAGGCCGUAUAAACAUUUUUUACGAUGGCAUUUACAAUCAUGGGAACAUGUGUAUAGAGCACAACUUUAUGACUUCUACGCAAUUAUAUGGCAUAAAUGAAAUAAAUUAUGUUGUUGCCCCGCCAGCUUAAAUGUUGCAAACACAGCCAACUAAUUGACUAAACUAUGCAAAUUACUCGAUUCAUUAGAAAAGCACUCAAUUUGACUUUCAAUCGAUGUGCAAAAACAAUUAACUCAUUAAAUGACUAAACGCUCGCAGCUCAUCAAAAUAUCGAAAUAGAAGCCAAGUUCGCCGAAGGCAGUAAAAAAUAGAUAUACGCAAAAUACCCAAGCAAAUCAGAUAAAAGUGAUUCAUGGUGUCAAGUUGCUCAGCAGUCGAGGUGUAAAAUAUAUAUGUACAUUUUAGCUGCCUCUUAAAAGCGUCCAGUUUGGCAUUUCCGUUGGCAGAAAAGAAACGCAUAAGCUAAAAGCUUCCCAACUCAUGACUCACAAAUAGCUGUGUACACAGAUAGAUUUAUAUGCCGGCAAUUAGCCAAGUUGAUCUAAUAACCCGAGUGGCAAAUCGGCGGGGAAAACUGUUGCAAAUACUUACAUUUCCACUUGGCCAAAUCGCGGCCAAGCCACAAAACUAGUUUACGUUAAAAAAAACACACACACAGAAAAACUAACACAAACUAGUAUUAUAAUAAUGACUUCAAUUUUCAGGCCGGCCAGGCAAAGAGAUUGUUGUAAAAAAAAAUAAUAAUAAUAACGAAAGCAGAGUAGAGCAGCGCACAAAAAAAUGUAUUUGGCAACUUUAGCAACAAGAUUCUUUGACGUGAAUUUAUGGCAAUUGAAGACAAGUUUUUAAUUAUGUUGCUGCCGUCGUUAUUGCUGUCGUUGUUGUUGUUAUUGUUGUUGUUGUUUUUGUGUCUGUUAUGGCCGGGCAUAAUAAUAAUUUAAAUAUGGCCAGGACAGCCUGAAAAUGAAGUGGCACACGGCAUUAAAUCAUCGCGUGCAGCUAAAAAGGAUAAAUAAGCGAGGAGGAAACACAGCAACUGCUGCCUUCAAUUUACUUUUUCCAAUCAUAGCAAUUGAAUCAAUUUCUGUUGGGUUACUUAUCGCACACAAUAGCCGAUUAAAAUGUUUAACUGGAAAUGUAGGGAAAUACACUCAAAGAAACAAAUAAACUCUCUUUCCCCAACUAUUUUUCUUAGCCAUAAUUUAGUAUUAUAGCCUACAUUAUCAAUAUGGAACAAACAGUUAUUAUAUGUUUUAUACACACUUCGAGAGCAUAACGAUGGCUUUGCAGUGGCCAAUUAAAUGCAUAAAAAUAUGGUUUGAAAAUACCAAUAAUAAUGCAAAUAUGCAGUGCAACGGCAGACGGGAAAUAAUUUCGCUUUAUGUUGUGGCCUGCGAAAAAUCUUCUCCUUCUGCUUGUAAUUAUGCGAGACUUGUUCUGCAUUGUGGCUGCUGUUUUUGCAGCUUUUGUUGCUGCUUCUUCGUCUACAUUGCAAUUUGUAUGCAAAUGCAAUCGGCAAUGCAGCCACACACUACACAUAUACACACACAGAUAUGCCGUGCAACACACCGUACACACACACCAUCGCAGCAUAAACAACGUGAUUAGCAUAACAGUCGACGAGGCCGUAAAUAUUGCAUUUUAGCAUAAUUGUUUAUACUUUGCAGCAGCUGCCAAACGAAAGCAACGCCUCUUCGCAGUUGGGCUACUUUGUAUUUAGUAAGCCAAGUAAUUAAGCCAACAGCCAACAUUUCGGCAUAUAAAUUGUAAUAUACCACUCGACUCAAGCACACUUAAUGAGUUUUCCAUUCACACACACCAUUCCCAUUUGGGAUCAGGACUUUGAUUAAAGUACUGCCAUUUGCAUGAAUUUGGCAGGCAAAAUAAACCAAAGUUGCAUAUUAAUAAUUGAACAAGAGCUGCUCCUUGGAAUAUGUAAAUCAUAAGGAAAGUCCCUAAGUCAUAUGGUCAUUUCACAUAACUUGCAAGUUAAUUGGUAUCGAGAGCUUCAAGUUCUUAAAAUGUAAUAAAUUUCGAAUGGAAGAUAUUUCGAUAAAACCAUUGGUUUAUUUUCUCACUUUUAUCCAGUAUUUGACCAGCCCCCUUAUCCCUUUUUUAACUGCAUUUUCGACUGCAUCAUGACAAAUUUCUCACACUAGUGUCAACUGCGGAAAUCUACGAUCGCUUUCGGCAUUCAGCAUUCGGUUUUCUGCUUUCGGCUGUCGGAUGUACACAAUCUUCUCGGCGAAUCCAACAAGUAGAGUGGAGUCGACAGUUCCCAUUCCCAUUCGCAUUCCCAAAACCCAUUUUCCAUUUCCCAUUCCUGCAUCAAAGUCGAGUUUCAACGAGCUGUGCUAACUUUCUAUUGUACAAUGCGAUCCAGUCACUUGUUUUUGGCCCCAUUGCGAUAGUGUGUGUCCAUGUGUGCCAAUUGCACACACACACAUGUGUGUGUGUGUGUGGUGUAUCAACAAUGCCUAACUGCCUGUGACGUUGUUGGUGUUGGAUAUUCUCUGGUAAUGCACUCCGCAAAAUAAGGCUAAACAUAAAACAGGGCCAAAAAUAAGUAAUAUGGUAAUACUAACAUCCCACGUUGGGCGCCAGUUGUAUGAAACGCGCUUGCUCUUUAGCAUUCUUAGUACUUCAUCCUAACUAAAGUUUGGAAUAUAGUGUAAUUAUGACUAGAAUACUUUGGUACGUGCUUUAAUGGAUAAGUAUUGCUUGCAAUGUGUUGCUGUUGCAGUUGCGAUUUCUGUUGCAGUGUCGCUGUUGCAUGCUAUCCCCGUUUUGGGGGCUCCGCUUUGUUCGUGUUCAUUUGGCAGUUUCCGCGCUGCAAACUUUGUAAUUAACUUUUGUCACGACGAUGCCAAAGUCUUUCGAGGACUCUCGACCGAAUGUGAAAUAAAAACAAACCAAAAAGAAAAAAAAACUGCAUUCUGUGAGGUGAACAUGCAUAAGUAAUUAUUUAUUUGCGAGAUGACAGCAAAUAUUUCUUAAGUAUGCCACAAUUAGCAACGCCAGCUUAAAAACCGAUUAAAGACAGCAAACAGAAAUUAAGGCCAAAAGGAGAACAAUAGAACUUCCAUGGCGUGCCAAAAAAAAAAGAGGAACAAAAUUAAAGUAGAAUACUAUAAUAUAAGAGAAAUAAAAGAAAA